UUAACCUACUAAGUCUAAUACCAAAGUCAGAGCGCAGAAUGGGCCGGUUUGUGUACGAGAUAAACAUGUGGGUAGACACAGAAAAGCAAAGAUCAACACGACAUUAGGUGGAACUGAAUUUGCAAGCGGAACUACUAGUCAGAUUGGUUUUGUGAGACCAUGAAUAAUUCAGAAGGAAAAACUCUACACCAAAACGCACACACUUGAAUGCGCAGCAUCUUCAAACGAGCUGUUUUGCUGAUUGGAGAAAGAGAGUACGAAUGCUGGAGCGGGACGGCAAAACGUUCUUUCCGCGGGCGGCAGAACUUCAGCGCUGCUGCUGACAGCGGGACAGCAAGUACAGAUCCUUAUCUUGUACUGACGGAAGAAACGACAUUCACAGCAAGAAGACUGGGAAUUCAGAAGAAUAAUAUUCUUGGCUUACUGGUUUUUUAGUUUCAAAAGGAAAAAAAAGAGGAAGAAAUAGCCCUCGGAACAAAGAUCCUGGUUCUCUCCAAAAAGAUUUUAGUCAGGCUAUAUUCUUUUUGAGUCAGUUAUCUAAGAGCACCGGAGGGACAGAGAUUAUGGGGAUGAAAGGUACACUAUUAUACUGUUUACAUGAUCUGUCUUCUAAUUAUCUAUAUUGAAUUCUGUAGGUAAUUUUCUGAAAGAUGAUGCUUACUUAUUUGAACAAAUUUAGGAAGUCCUGAACUGCUUUCAGGCAGCAACGAUCUCAACGCUACUGGAUAUUAGAGUACAGUUGAGUCUCCAUUGCUAAACUUAUCUGAAAUCAAAUUGUUUUAAAUGUCCAACGCAACCAUGUACUUCUUUGGGAAUGGAGGCCCCUCAAAGGAAAAUCCUUGUUAUUGGGACAUAGAACAGGAUGUCUAAUACCUGGAAACUGCUGCCAGCCACUGCCUUUGGACUCCUGACAGCCUGUUUACUCAUGUAAAGUAACAGAACCAGCAGAUGGUGCUCAAGAAAACGCAGCCCAACUCAGGGGACUUGUAGCCCCGACGCAACCCGUGCCCAACAAAUGGCUUCCUCUAACACCUUUCUCCACAAAUGCCAAGAGAAGUGAACAGUCACUGUUUCACCAGCGUUAGAGUGGACAACGUUUGGCGAGCAGCCCACGCUCACCGUUAGCACUGCCCAGAGUAGCAGAUUCACACCUCCCGCCACCCAGGUCAUGGUGCUGCCUACCCAGGUCACACACAUGGGUCUCAGCUGAUUAUUAAGAUCAGGAUGAUUGAAACAAAUAAAGCAGCAGCUACUGUGAACCACUAAAACAAAGUGGCACCAAAAGAGCAGUUUGGGAGGGGGUGGAGUUGUAGGCAAUGUACAUAGAGGUGUCACUAAGGCAUGCACAACUCACCACGCUUCACCAGUUGCACAUCAUCAAUACUGGAUUAAUUUGGGUGUGAAACCAGUGCAUUCAGGCCCAUCUCUCACAAGCAUUAUUGGAAGAACUCCUCCAAAAAGCAAGAACCAAUGCCAAACUGGUACAAAGAAGCACUUGUAAACCUGCCUGCUCACAAGUGAUGCCCAUCACGUACUCAGCAAUGUGCAGCAGGAGCCAUUUCCUCCAAAAGAGUAACAGUGCCAGCUCGUGUGACUUUUUUGGAGGGGGCAGGUAUUUUUGCAGUGAGAAGAUUAAAUUUUCCUUCUAGAAGCCAUUUUUUUCAACAGUGUGUCUGUGUGAGCUCAAGAAUGACUGAAGAUUCCAUGAAGCUCAGUCCUGCCAUCAGGUCCAGCACAUGGUUGUUCUUCCUGGGAAGAGCCAUUGAGGUCUUUGUCCAGCAAUCGCAAUCAUCUUUCUGGGUUUUUAACCUGCAGAUUUAAUUGUGAAAUCCCGUUAAAGACGGAGUCCUGGCUACACCGCUCAAACACGACAGAAGCCAACAACUUGAGAGACCUGCAUCACUUUUGUCCCAGCAUUUACAGAUCAUUACAAACUGACGCACUUGGUUGCUGAAGUUGUCAGUUCUGUUGACAUCCAGCCUGUAAAAAUCACGUACAUUGUUCGUUCGGUGUGUGAGGCUUCAAGACCCUUCUUGUAUGGCCCAUGUCACCUGUCACUCAGGAUUUCUUUUUUCAAGCAAUGAAAUAUCUGCCAUCAUGUCCCUAAUUUACACACAGUUAAGGAGUCUUUGGCUACGCCUCAACUGGGUCCGGCGUCUUUCUACUUGAAAUCUUGUUAUAUUUUUGCCAAAGGAAUAUUUCACUGGUAGCAUUGCAUGGUUAACCAAAGCAUUUGGUAAGAUGGCAAGAGAUCAGAGAAAAUAGUUUCCUUUUAUCAGCAAGAAACCUUGUGGUCUGAAGUGCAGGACCGUUUCCUACCCAGCACACAGGCCAACAGCCCCGAUGGAGUUCUGCUGCUACCGGAACACCCUGGGACCUACAGCGCGGCUUCUCAAAAAGUACCGUCUAUAUGAAAAAAGUAACAUUUGAAAGUCAAAACAGGACUUUCAAAAUUACCGCAGGUUCCUUAUUUUUUGUUUGUUUGUUUGUUUUGCUUCUAUUUAUUCACACUUUACAAGGUAGGAACUUAUCUCUCUGAAUUAUCUCUCUUUUUUUAUUAUUAACUCAUUGAAUGCCAUCUGUAAAUAUGUUCACUGACUCACACUAAAACACGGUGAGCAAAAGGCCAGGCAUGCUUAAAGAAUCUGACAGGCAGAAAAGGAGGAUGGAACGAACCGAGACACAGAGAAACCUGCAAUUAUCAAUAGGAUGGAUUUUCUUCCCUUUUUGACAGGGCCAGGGUUCCCAAACCUAUCAUUACGAGGUCCUAAUUACAUAUCUCUGCAAUAGAUCACCCAGUUAAGGAGAAAUACCUACUGACUGGGAAACAUCACUAAUUGUUCCUUUUUUGUUGGCAUACUAUCUGAUUGGAGUAAUUACAGAGCUGCCUCCCCAUUCUCUUUUCCUCUGAAGAUUUUGCAGACAUAUUUCUUCACAGAUUGCAUAGAAUUUGGCCUCUUGAAUCUCUUGGCUUUAGCUUCUAUGUUCCUGUUUCCUACCUUUUUUCACUUGGAAUAUUACCUAUACUGCCCUAUGUGAGGACACCUAUUGAAACAUUUUCAGCAUCCCACCAUGCUACGCGCUGUACACGCUACAAAAAGUGCUUUGUUUCAAUCAUUAAGUUCUUCCACUAAUUUUAUAAAAGCUUUUGACUUCUGGAAUUAUCACACCAUAGAAAAUAAAAAAGGCUUAGACUAUUAA